rnacentral:rRNA from 1 species
UACGUAGGGUACAAGCGUUAAUCGGAAUUACUGGGCGUAAAGCGUGCGCAGGCGGUUUUGUAAGUCUGUCGUGAAAGCCCCGGGCUCAACCUGGGAAUUGCAUUGGAGACUGCAAGGCUAGAAUCUGGCAGAGGGGGGUAGAAUUCCACGUGUAGCAGUGAAAUGCGUAGAGAUGUGGAGGAACACCGAUGGCGAAGGCAGCCCCCUGGGUCAAGAUUGACGCUCAUGCACGAAAGCGUGGGGAGCAAACAGG